rnacentral:rRNA from 1 species
UGAAGAAGGCCUUCGGGUUGUAACGCUCUUUCGACGGGGACGAUGAUGACGGUACCCGUAUAAGAAGCCCCGGCAAACUUCGUGCCAGCAGCCGCGGUAAUACGAAGGGGGCUAGCGUUGUUCGGAAUUACUGGGCGUAAAGCGCGCGUAGGCGGUGAUCCAUGUCAGAGGUGAAAGCCCGGGGCUCAACCCCGGAAUUGCCUUUGAAACGGGAUCGCUAGAGUCCGAGAGAGGAUGGCGGAAUUCCUAGUGUAGAGGUGAAAUUCGUAGAUAUUAGGAAGAACACCGGUGGCGAAGGCGGCCAUCUGGCUCGGUACUGACGCUCAGGCGCGAAAGCGUGGGGAGCAAACAGG